GCCGUACUAGAGAAAUGGUAACUCGCUGGACUCCUAAUCCAGAGAUUCUCGGUUCGAGUCCGGGGUGCGGCA